GACGAACGCUGGCGGCGUGCUUAACACAUGCAAGUCGAACGGUGAAGGGACUGGUUUUGCUGGUCCUGGAUGAGUGGCGAACGGGUGAGUAACACGUGAGUAACCUGCCCCCUUCUUCUGGAUAACCGCAUGAAAGUGUGGCUAAUACGGGAUAUUCUGGGUCUGUCGCAUGGUGGGCCUGGGAAAGAUUGCGCCUUGUUUGGUGUUUUUGGUGGGGGAUGGGCUCGCGGCCGAUCAGCUUGUUGGUGGGGUGAUGGCCUACCAAGGCGGUGACGGGUAGCCGGCCUGGGAGGGUGGGCGGUCACGCUGGGACUGAGGCACGGCCCAGACUCCUACGGGAGGCAGCAGUGGGGAAUAUUGCACAAUGGGCGCAAGCCUGAUGCAGCGACGCCGCGUGAGGGAUGGAGGCCGUCGGGUUGUGAACCUCUUUCGCCAGUGAAGCAGGCCUGCCUCUUUUUGUGGGUGGGUUGACGGUAGCUGGAUAAGAAGCGCCGGCUAACUACGUG
rnacentral:rRNA from 1 species